UUUCGCAAUGCCCGAAAGGGUGACGAAGCGACGCCGCGUGCGGGAAGAAGGCCUUCGGGUUGUAAACCGCUGUCGGGAGUUAAGAAAUGUAGAGAUGUUAAUAGCGUCUUUGCUUGACUAAGGCUCCGGAGGAAGCCACGGCUAACUCUGUGCCAGCAGCCGCGGUAAUACAGAGGCGGCAAGCGUUGUUCGGAAUUAUUGGGCGUAAAGAGCACGUAGGCGGCCGUGCAAGUCGGUUGUGAAAGCCUUCCGCUUAACGGAAGAACAGCAGCCGAUACUGCAUGGCUUGAGUGCGGGAGGGGAGAGUGGAACUUCUGGUGGAGCGGUGAAAUGCGUAGAUAUCAGAAGGAACGCCGGCGGCGAAAGCGACUCUCUGGCCCGUAACUGACGCUGAGUGUGCGAAAGCUAGGGGAGCAAACGGGAUUAGAUACCCCGGUAGUCCUAGCCGUAAACGAUGGGCACUAAGUAGAGGGGUUUU
rnacentral:rRNA from 1 species